rnacentral:rRNA from 1 species
UACGUAGGGGGCUAGCGUUGUCCGGAAUCAUUGGGCGUAAAGAGCGUAUAGGCGGUUCGGUAAGUCCGCUGUGAAAGUCCAGGGCUCAACCCUGGAAUGCCGGUGGAUACUGUCGGGCUAGAGUCCGGAAGAGGCGAGUGGAAUUCCUGGUGUAGCGGUGAAAUGCGCAGAUAUCAGGAGGAACACCAAUGGCGAAGGCAGCUCGCUGGGACGGUACUGACGCUGAGACGCGAAAGCGUGGGGAGCAAACAGG